GAUGAACGCUAGCGGCAGGCCUAAUACAUGCAAGUCGAACGGUGUCUUCGGACAUAGUGGCGCACGGGUGCGUAACACGUAUGCAACCUACCUUACAUUGGGGGAUAGCCUUUCGAAAGGGAGAUUAAUACCGCAUAAGACAGUAGCUGGGCAUCCAGCAGCUGUUAAAGAUUUAUCGAUGUAAGCUGGGCAUGCGUCCAAUUAGCUAGUUGGUGAGGUAGCGGCUCACCAAGGCAAUGAUUGGUAGGGGAACUGAGAGGUCAAUCCCCCACACUGGCACUGGGAUACGGGCCAGACUCCUACGGGAGGCAGCAGUAGGGAAUAUUGGGCAAUGGACGCAAGUCUGACCCAGCCGUGCCGCGCGCAGGAUGAAGGCGUUAUGCGUUGUAAACUGCUUUUAUACAGGAAGAAACGACUCUUGCGAGAGGCAUUGACGGUACUGUAUGAAUAAGCACCGGCUAACUCCGUGCCAGCCGCCGCGGUAA
rnacentral:rRNA from 1 species